rnacentral:rRNA from 1 species
GACGAACGCUGGCGGCGUGCUUAACACAUGCAAGUCGAACGGAAAGGCCCUGCUUUUGUGGGGUGCUCGAGUGGCGAACGGGUGAGUAACACGUGAGUAACCUGCCCUUGACUUUGGGAUAACUUCAGGAAACUGGGGCCAAUACCGGAUAGGAGCUCCUGCUGCAUGGUGGGGGUUGGAAAGUUUCGGCGGUUGGGGAUGGACUCGCGGCUUAUCAGCUUGUUGGUGGGGUAGUGGCUUACCAAGGCUUUGACGGGUAGCCGGCCUGAGAGGGUGACCGGCGACAUUGGGACUGAGAUACGGCCCAGACUCCUACGGGAGGCAGCAGUGGGGAAUAUGGCACAAUGGGCGGAAGCCUGAUGCAGCAACGCCGCGUGCGGGAUGACGGCCUUCGGGUUGUAAACCGCUUUCGCCUGUGACGAAGCGUGAGUGACGGUAAUGGGUAAAGAAGCACCGGCUAACUACGUG